ensembl:snRNA U7 U7 small nuclear RNA
AACUGUUACAGCUCAUUCAGAAUUUGUCUAGAAGGUUUUCCAGUUUCUACCAAAAGACUCCC